UAAAGGCUUUCACCAAUGGAUACGAAUUUCUGAACCUGUCUACAGACUUGCAAUGUCACAACACAGUGAUGGAUUAGGCAUCCUCAACCCAUCAAGCCAUUCAUUAGCAACAUAACUCCGCAUUAGAGAACUACUGUGAAAACAUUCAAUGUAUUGAGUAUCAGAAAUUUUGAAACCACUAAGCCUGGUUACACUUAGAAAACUGAACUUGACGAUUGAGCCAUUACCUGAGGCAUUUGGACCAUACAUGGAGAGAUAAGUAAAACCUCAACGAUAUUUUGAUAAGAUAAUACAAGAGUCAUGAUCUCGGGAGACUAAUGGGGUGGGAAAAGGGAUCCAAAUCAGGAAAUGAUGCCACCAAUGAAAAUGAAAUCACCAACCCAAGGAAACCGAAACACAGAAAUAGAAAGCGGGCUAUGCCACCAGUGCUUCAUCCGGAGGCUCACUGUUGUUACCUGGUAUGGUGAGGAAAUGUCUGAAAAUGAACUUUCCAGCUCAGCGAGCAAAUCUACAACCUCAACCUGAGCUACAAAUCUUCUCAAAACCCUGGAAUAAUACUUUUAAAUCAAGAAGAGAUAUUGUAUGAUAAAGCAUGAGAUUGUACCCAUUCUGCUCAACAUUUCGGGUAUCCAGGUGCUAGAAUGUUGUCCAGAUUGGUUAACAUAUUAUACAUUCUUUUUAACCAAUGUAGUCAUGCAUUCAGCUGCGGAUGCCAAAGCAGCCACUAAAUUCAGAGAAUACAUACUUUCACUCGACGCAAGGACGAUAUUGAAUGAUAUUUUGACGGGUCAAUGCUGGGUCUUCUGUGAUUAAUUGACUAAUCAUACAGGGUAUGAAUGAGCCUGUGCAAUGGUUGAGACAAACUAUGAAAGAAUUGAGAGAGGGGGCUGAGGAAGCUGGGAUAGAACAAGCAGGGCUAGGUAAAAAGACAAAGGUACAGAUAAAUGGGUAGCUGUAAUGGAGGCACGUGCUAAGACAAUCAAUCACUUGAUGGACAGAGUACAAGAGGAUCGCACAUGUGGAUUUUGGAUAGUAGGCUAGGUAUGACGACACAACCUUAGCCUAAUCCAAAGGGGGCACUAGGUAACUGAUUAGAUUGGUGAUACAGAGCUGGUGCAGCUAAUCUAAUCAAACAGGAUACUAGAUCACUAAGUUCUAAUGAGUUUAUAAAUGAGGACUUAAUAGCACAAAAGGGCGUAUAUCAGAAAUCACCCAUGCCCCCACCUCCGACAGAUCACUCAAUCAGUACAAAAAGGAAACAAGUAUUGUGUGUGAACCAUUAAAUAUCUUAGAUUACAUUGACUCAUGACACACCCCAAUUCUCGGCCAAGCUCGAUUUGAGGUACACCGAACAGUGAGAACUGGAAAUACUACCUGCUCCACAAUGAUCUCAUUUAAGUGAACAGGUUUUGGGGAGUUCAGCACAGGAUGGGUCAGCUAGUCAAACUUCACCAGCAGUCACAAAAAAACUAGAUAUUCAUGAAGAGGAGAUAGACACAGGAGCAUCAGUAUUAGUUACAGACUGAGACCUACCACUCAUGAAAUAUAACAUUUGGAUACAAAGAAAACAGAAGCAUAUAAAAGUCAGACUCAACUGGAUUAAUGAUUCCAAUGCAUUUUUGGGUACGUAAAAAUUCAGAGGGCACGGUAUUGGGAAUAGAUGUACUGGUUGAGAUGAGAGCAUUAAUAGACACCAAAGAGAAAUGAAUAAUGUGGACAACUAAUGGGCAAAAAUAUAAGUUAGGAGGCAGUCAUAGUGUAGUUAGGAAUAUUGCAACAAUACGGAAUACUGCCACCUUUUGAACAGGAUCUGUCAGUUGAUAGGAAAUUUGGGUCAAUUUGCUCCGCAAUCCGAAAUAUUUGGGCUAAGGUUAAACAUAAUUACGGGUUGAUAGAUACUAAACCCAUUAAUAUACCCGGCCUGUGUCUUAAACCACACAAGCAGUAUCUUAUCAAACUUGAAGCUGCAAAGGCAAUUGAAGAAAUCAUAGAGGUGCUUGUGCUUUGUGGGGUCCUAAGACCACUGUACCCACUACUAAUUCACCGAUGUGGCCAGUUAAGAAGCCAGCUGGGUCAUAGCAGUGAAUACUGGACAAUAAAUUGACAGCAAAAUUUGGUUUAAGUGUUUUUGGUUGGCUGAAAAUAUUUGCAACAUGUAGUAUUCACAAGAAAAACAACAUUAGCUUAGUAGACCCAAGGUAAACGAACUGAGAGAGAAUAUACUGCUGCAAUUGUUUACGUAUAAGACAUCGAUUAAAAACAAUUCACACUGCAAUUAG